AAUGAACGCUGGCGGCGUGCCUAACACAUGCAAGUCGUACGAGAAAUCCCGAGCUUGCUUGGGAGAGUAAAGUGGCGCACGGGUGAGUAACGCGUGGGUAACCCACCUUCGAAUCUGGGAUAACUCCGCGAAAGCGGUGCUAAUACCGGAUAAGACCACAUUCCGUUUGCGGAAAGAGGUAAAAGCUGACCUCUCCAUGGAAGUUAGCGUUCGAGGACGGGCCCGCGUCCUAUCAGCUUGUUGGUGGGGUAAUGGCCUACUAAGGCAGCGACGGGUAGCUGGUCUGAGAGGAUGAUCAGCCACACUGGAACUGGAACACGGUCCAGACUCCUACGGGAGGCAGCAGUGAGGAAUUUUGCGCAAUGGGGGAAACCCUGACGCAGCAACGCCGCGUGGGUGAAGAAGGCUUUCGGGUCGUAAAGCCCUGUCAGGUGGGAAGAAACUCUUCAGCACUAAUAAUGCUGAAGCCUGACGGUACCACCAGAGGAAGCACCGGCCAACUCCGUGCCAGCAGCCGCGGUAAUACGGAGGGUGCAAGCGUUGUUCGGAAUUAUUGGGCGUAAAGAGCGUGUAGGCGGCUUGGUAAGUCAGAUGUGAAAGCCCUGGGCUCAACCCAGGAAGUGCAUUUGAAACUACCAGACUUGAGUACGGGAGAG
rnacentral:rRNA from 1 species